AAUAGAUACCCGGGUAGUCCACGCCGUAAACGAUGUCGACUUGGAGGUUGUGCCCUUGGGGCGUGGCUUCCGGAGCUAACGCGUUAAGUCGACCGCCUGGGGAGUACGGCCGCAAGGUUAAAACUCAAAUGAAUUGACGGGGGGCCCGCACAAGCGGUGGAGCAUGUGGUUUAAUUCGAUGCAACGCGAAGAACCUUACCUGGUCUUGACAUCCACGGAAGUUUUCAGAGAUGAGAAUGUGCCUUCGGGAACCGUGAGACAGGUGCUGCAUGGCUGUCGUCAGCUCGUGUUGUGAAAUGUUGGGUUAAGUCCCGCAACGAGCGCAACCCUUAUCCUUUGUUGCCAGCGGUUAGGCCGGGAACUCAAAGGAGACUGCCAGUGAUAAACUGGAGGAAGGUGGGGAUGACGUCAAGUCAUCAUGGCCCUUACGACCAGGGCUACACACGUGCUACAAUGGCAUAUACAAAGAGAAGCGACCUCGCGAGAGCAAGCGGACCUCAUAAAGUAUGUCGUAGUCCGGAUUGGAGUCUGCAACUCG
rnacentral:rRNA from 1 species